UACGUAGGGGGCUAGCGUUGUCCGGAAUCAUUGGGCGUAAAGAGCGUGUAGGCGGUCCGGUAAGUCCGCUGUGAAAGUCCAGGGCUCAACCCUGGGAUGCCGGUGGAUACUGUCGGGCUAGAGUACGGAAGAGGCGAGUGGAAUUCCCGGUGUAGCGGUGAAAUGCGCAGAUAUCGGGAGGAACACCAAUUGCGAAGGCAGCUCGGUGGGACGUCACUGACGCUGAGACGCGAAAGCGUGGGGAGCAAUCAGG
rnacentral:rRNA from 1 species